CAACGCCGCGUGGAGGAUGAAGUCCCUUGGGACGUAAACUCCUUUCGACCCGGACGAUAAUGACGGUACGGGUGGAAGAAGCCCCGGCUAACUUCGUGC
rnacentral:rRNA from 1 species